UACGAAGGGGGCUAGCGUUGCUCGGAAUCACUGGGCGUAAAGGGCGCGUAGGCGGUCGGAUAAGUCUUGUGUGAAAUCUUCGGGCUCAACUCGAAGUCUGCACGAGAAACUGUCUGGCUUGAGUGUGGGAGAGGUGAGUGGAAUUCCUGGUGUAGCGGUGAAAUGCGUAGAUAUCAGGAGGAACACCUGUGGCGAAAGCGGCUCACUGGACCACAACUGACGCUGAGGCGCGAAAGCUAGGGGGAGCAAACAGG
rnacentral:rRNA from 1 species